CAGUGUCCCUGCCCUCCGGGGUAGGAUCACCACCCUUGCUUAUUUACGCGUGUUGCUUUGGCGGGCCUCGUGGCCCAGCCGCGCCCCGGCUUCGGCGGGGGAGUGCCCGCCAGAGGAGAAUACAAACCUGAAUAUAUGUGUCGUCUGAGUACUAUAUAAUAGUUA
rnacentral:misc_RNA from 1 species